rnacentral:rRNA from 1 species
AGAGUUUGAUCCUGGCUCAGGACGAACGCUGGCGGCGCGCCUAACACAUGCAAGUCGAACGGAGCUGAGAGGAGCUUGCUUUUCUUAGCUUAGUGGCGAACGGGUGAGUAACGCGUGAGUAACCUGCCCUGGAGUGGGGGACAACAGUUGGAAACGACUGCUAAUACCGCAUAAGCCCACGGAUCCGCAUGGAUCUGCGGGAAAAGGAUUUAUUCGCUUCAGGAUGGACUCGCGUCCAAUUAGCUAGUUGGUGAGGUAACGGCCCACCAAGGCGACGAUUGGUAGCCGGACUGAGAGGUUGAACGGCCACAUUGGGACUGAGACACGGCCCAGACUCCUACGGGAGGCAGCAGUGGGGGAUAUUGCACAAUGGGGGAAACCCUGAUGCAGCGACGCCGCGUGGAGGAAGAAGGUUUUCGGAUUGUAAACUCCUGUCGUUAGGGACGAUAAUGACGGUACCUAACAAGAAAGCACCGGCUAACUACGUGCCAGCAGCCGCGGUAAAACGUAGGGUGCAAGCGUUGUCCGGAAUUACUGGGUGUAAAGGGAGCGCAGGCGGACCGGCAAGUUGGAAGUGAAAACUAUGGGCUCAACCCAUAAAUUGCUUUCAAAACUGCUGGCCUUGAGUAGUGCAGAGGUAGGUGGAAUUCCCGGUGUAGCGGUGGAAUGCGUAGAUAUCGGGAGGAACACCAGUGGCGAAGGCGACCUACUGGGCACCAACUGACGCUGAGGCUCGAAAGCAUGGGUAGCAAACAGGAUUAGAUACCCUGGUAGUCCAUGCCGUAAACGAUGAUUACUAGGUGUUGGAGGAUUGACCCCUUCAGUGCCGCAGUUAACACAAUAAGUAAUCCACCUGGGGAGUACGACCGCAAGGUUGAAACUCAAAGGAAUUGACGGGGACCCGCACAAGUAGCGGAGCAUGUGGUUUAAUUCGAAGCAACGCGAAGAACCUUACCUAAGCUUGACAUCCUUUUGACCGAUGCCUAAUCGCAUCUUUCCCUUCGGGGACAGAAGUGACAGGUGGUGCAUGGUUGUCGUCAGCUCGUGUCGUGAGAUGUUGGGUUAAGUCCCGCAACGAGCGCAACCCUUGCCUUUAGUUGCCAGCAUUAAGUUGGGCACUCUAGAGGGACUGCCAGGGAUAACCUGGAGGAAGGUGGGGAUGACGUCAAAUCAUCAUGCCCCUUAUGCUUAGGGCUACACACGUGCUACAAUGGGUGGUACAGAGGGCAGCCAAGUCGUGAGGCGGAGCUAAUCCCUUAAAGCCAUUCUCAGUUCGGAUUGUAGGCUGAAACUCGCCUACAUGAAGCUGGAGUUACUAGUAAUCGCAGAUCAGAAUGCUGCGGUGAAUGCGUUCCCGGGUCUUGUACACACCGCCCGUCACACCACGGGAGUUGGGGGCGCCCGAAGCCGGAUUGCUAACCUUUUGGAAGCGUCCGUCGAAGGUGAAAUCAAUAACUGGGGUGAAGUCGUAACAAGGUA